UCUUGGAGGAGUGUUUCCUGACCGAUUUCAUGUUUGUCCCCCAUGAGACACCGUAGACGCGGAAGCCUGUUUCACUUCCUUAAAAUCACCAGGAUGAAUCUAAGAUGGAACCCACCUUGCAGGGUGAGCUGUUUGGACAGUUUGGUAGCGAUGUCCAUGCCAUUCUUCAGCCAUGCCAGUUGUGGGUUGGGGAUACCCUCAGCAUGGCACCGGAGACUGGCCGUCACCCCUGGCUCCCGUGCCUGGCUCUCUGGGUAGACGCGGAUGACGGGAGGAACUGCAUUGUGGGAAGAAGGAAGAGGAGAAAAGAUGAAUCUAGCUCUGGGCCACCCAUGGAGGUUUCCAAACAUCAGAGAGAGGGAACCAUACACGGAUGCUCUACAUCCCUACAGCCAAUGAGGACCAAGACUGUGAAAGACAACUUCACCAAGUCGAGGGAUACAAUUUACGUGAAUACGUACACAUACACCAAGUUCGAACAUGAACAGCCCCGGACACAAGAAUAAUGCUCAAUGUGGCUUUUUUUCACAAAUUGUCACCGCAAUUGCUCAGUGCUGAUUAACUUGUCUAAAAAGCCUAUGAUAGUAAUCAAUGUAAUAAGCAUGUAAUAACAUAUGGAAAGCCUGUAGAGGGGAGAUUUUGCUGAGUCAUCUGGCUGUAAUCAGUUGUUUUCCAUUACUCAAGCAGCUAUGCAUCAUAAAAAUAAGAAUUUGUUCUUAACUGACUUGCCUAGUUAAAUAAAGGUCAAAUAAAAUACAUAAGCAUUUGUCUAUAAUGAAAUGCAUUUCUUCCAGUUUUCACACGUCAUAUACUUAUGCCCUUGUGCAUUUCUAUAUAAUAAACUGCAGUGGUAAUCAAAAGGUGGUAUUUUUAGACCGAACCCUGAACUGUAGUUCCAAAGAAAGGCGAACAUUAUCCCCUGACAAUUCUGAUGUGAGUUUUUUCAAUGUUUUGA